GCGGAUGUAGCUCAGUGGUAGAGCGUCCUCUUUGCAUGCGGAAUGCCCGGGGUUCGAACCCCGCAUCUCCA
rnacentral:tRNA from 1 species